UAUGGCCACAUCACAUUGAAACACCAGAUCCCAUAUAAUCACUGAAGUUAAGCAGCAUCAAGCCUAGUCAGUACCUAGAUGGAUGACCGCUUGAGAAUACCUGGUACUGUAAG